rnacentral:rRNA from 1 species
ACGGGUGAGUAAUACAUCGGAACGUGCCCAAGAGUGGGGGAUAACGGAGCGAAAGCUUUGCUAAUACCGCAUACGAUCUACGGAUGAAAGCAGGGGACCGCAAGGCCUUGCGCUCAUGGAGCGGCCGAUGGCAGAUUAGGUAGUUGGUGGGAUAAGAGCUUACCAAGCCGACGAUCUGUAGCUGGUCUGAGAGGACGACCAGCCACACUGGGACUGAGACACGGCCCAGACUCCUACGGGAGGCAGCAGUGGGGAAUUUUGGACAAUGGGCGCAAGCCUGAUCCAGCCAUGCCGCGUGCAGGAUGAAGGCCUUCGGGUUGUAAACUGCUUUUGUACGGAACGAAAAGCCUCUUUCUAAUAAAGAGGGGUCAUGACGGUACCGUAAGAAUAAGCACCGGCUAACUACGUGCCAGCAGCCGCGGUAAUACGUAGGGUGCGAGCGUUAAUCGGAAUUACUGGGCGUAAAGCGUGCGCAGGCGGUAAUGUAAGACAGAUGUGAAAUCCCCGGGCUCAACCUGGGAACUGCAUUUGUGACUGCAUUGCUGGAGUGCGGCAGAGGGGGAUGGAAUUCCGCGUGUAGCAGUG